rnacentral:rRNA from 1 species
GUCUUACCAUGCAGUCGACGAUGAACUUAGUUUACUAAGUGGAUUAGUGGCGCACGGGUGAGUAAUAUAUAGAUAAUCUGCCUCUUAGUCUGGGAUAGCCAUUGGAAACGAUGAUUAAUACUAGAUACUCCUUCUAAUUCUAAUGUUAGUUGGGAAAGUUUUUCGCUAAGAGAUGAGUCUAUAUCCCAUCAGGUAGUUGGUAGUGUAAGAGACUACCAAGCCUAUGACGGGUAGCGGGUUUGAGAGGAUGAUCCGCCACACUGGUACUGAGACACGGACCAGACUCCUACGGGAGGCAGCAGUGAGGAAUAUUGCACAAUGGAGGAAACUCUGAUGCAGCAACGCCGCGUGGAGGAUGACGCAUUUCGGUGUGUAAACUCCUUUUAUCAAGGAAGAAAAUGACGGUACUUGAUGAAUAAGCACCGGCUAACUCCGUGCCAGCAGCCGCGGUAAUACGGAGGGUGCAAGCGUUAUUCGGAAUCACUGGGCGUAAAGGACGCGUAGGCGGGUUGGUAAGUCAGAUGUGAAAUCCUACAGCUUAACUGUAGAACUGCAUUUGAAACUACUAACCUAGAGUAUGGGAGGGGGAGAUGGAAUUAGUGGUGUAGGGGGUAAAAUCCGUAGAUAUCACUAGGAAUACCGAAAGCGAAAGGCGAUCUCCUGGAACAUAACUGACGCUAAGGCGUGAAAGCG